AGUGUCACAUUCAGAGGCGCUAAUCUAUAGGCGGCGGAGGACCGGUCCUCGCCCCCUCCCUGUCUCUGAGGGGAGGAGGAGGGGAGGGGGUUGGUUAGCGGCGGUGCCGAGGCGCCUCAGCCCGUGCUCUGCGGGAGCCGGGGGGGGUUGUGCGUGGUGUCUCUCUGCCCUGCCGUGAGCGCAAAGCUAACUGUGUGUGUGUGUGUGUGUCUGUCUCUCUCCAUACCGGGGGAUUGCACUCUUAAAAUACACCCGAUACAAUGCACCAGCCUGACUCAGCCGCAGACAUUAGUGCUAGGAAGAUGGCGCACCCGGCAAUGUAUCCUAGAAGGGGCAGCAGCAGUAGCAGCGGCAGCAGCUGCGUUACUGCUCCCACUGCACCAGGUACCGGCGUUGGGAGCGCUGCCCUCUCUGCCGAGGAUUAUCAGCCGCCUUUGCUGGUCCAGCCACCGCCUCCAUCUCCUGCAGCAUCUUCAUCAGCGGGUCCACAGCCGACACCCCCUCCUCCACAAAGCCUGAACCUCCUCUCGCAGUCGCAGCUCCAGCCACAGCCUCUUGCACAGACUGGAGCUCAAAUGAAAAAGAAAAGUGGCUUCCAAAUCACCAGCGUGACCCCUGCUCAAAUAUCAGCUAGUAUGAGCUCUAAUAACAGCAUAGCCGAGGAUACAGAAAGCUACGAUGACCUGGACGAGUCCCACACUGAAGAUCUGUCGUCUUCGGAAAUCUUGGAUGUUUCUUUAUCCAGGGCCACCGACUUGGGAGAACCUGAGAGGAGCUCCUCUGAAGAGACUUUAAAUAACUUCCAAGAGGCAGAGACUCCUGGGGCUGUUUCUCCAAACCAGCCUCAUCUUCCUCAGCAGCAUGCUCCUCUGCCUCAUCACCCACAGCAGAGUGUUGUGAUCAAUGGAAGUGUUCACCCCCAUCAUGUUCAUCACCACCACCAUCUUCACCACCACCAUCAUGGACACCACCAUCCGUCGCAUCCUGGGGUGGGCAGUGCCCCGGUUUCUGGAGGACCACCGCCCAGUCCAUCAUUUAGAAAACUAUCAACAACUGGAAGCUCUGACAGUGCUGUAUCAACUGCACCAGUUUCUGCUGCAUCAUCCACUGGUUCCCCGGCAUCUGUCGUGUCUAAUAUCCGCACUACGAGUACUCCUGGCAAUUUAGGUGUAAGUCCUGCUACCGGAACUAGUACCUUAAAUAAUAUGGGUGGUGGUAGCUCUGGUGUGGCAAGCGGUGUGAUUGGUACUAUAAACUUGAGCAACAUCACGAGUACUGGUAAUGUAAAUGCUUUGUCUGGAACUAGCAGCAAUGUUAAUGUGAAUAUCUUGAGUGGUGUUGGCAAUGGUACGAGUGCUUCCUCUAGUGUCAUUAACAAUGUUACUAAUCCAACUGCAGGAAUGGCAGUGGGAUCAAGCCAGCAGCAGCCUGCAUCUGGCACAUCAAGGUUUAGGGUUGUAAAAUUAGAUUCUAGUUCUGAACCUUUCAAAAAAGGUAGAUGGACAUGCACUGAAUUCUAUGAUAAAGAAAACACUGUUGCAGUUUCAGAAGGAGUAGCAGUAAACAAAGCAGUAGAGACAAUAAAACAAAACCCGCUUGAAGUGACUUCUGAAAGGGAGAGCACCAGUGGGAGUUCUGUUAGCAGCAAUGUAAGCACACUGAGUCACUAUACAGAAAGUGUGGGAAGUGGAGAAAUGGGAGCACCUCCUGUGGUACAGCAGCAAGCGUUUCAAGGUGUGGGUCCGCAGCAGAUGGAUUUUAGCAGUGCUGCUCCUCCGGCAAUUCCAGCAUCUAGUAUACCACAGAGUGUUUCUCAAUCACAGCUUGCACAAGUCCAGCUGCAUUCUCAAGAAGUAAACUAUCCACAGCAGAAGCCAGGGGUCCAACCUCCUGCACAGGCCAGUCUAACCACUGUUACUGGGGUUCAGCCAGCCCCAGUUAAUAUACUAGGUGUAUCCCCAUCUAUGGGCCACCAGCAACCUGCCAUUCAAAGUAUGGCUCAACAGCAGCUACCGUAUUCUCAGCCGGUGCCGCCUGUGCAGACUUUGCCAGUUGUGCAGCAGCAGCAGUUGCAGUAUGGACAACAGCAGCAGCAGCAGCAACAGACAGUUCCUACACAGAUGGCCGCAGGUCAUGUUAAGCCGGUGAACCAAAACUCUGUGACGGGGGCUAUGCCAGACUACAUUCAGCAUCAGCAGAUCCUUCAGACUCCAGCCCCUGCCAUGCAGCCUAGUUCUACAGGAGUAGGAGGAGGGCAACCGGUUCCCAUUGCCCAGGCGCAGGGCAUGCAGCCUUCAGUGCAAGCACAUCCAGCCGCUGCCCCAGCUCAGCCUGUUGCGCAUGCUCCAGCAGCAAUACCAGGUGUAGGUACCAGUGGUCAAAUGCUGAAUGUUGGGCAGCAAGGAAGUGUAGCUGCUGUGGUGCAACCACCAUCUGCUGCAAACCAAAUUCCACCUCCAGUUAUGCCGUCAACGGCUGCUCCUCCAUCUUCACAAGUAGUGCAGCCUGUGCAGACAGGAAUAAUGCAGCAGGGAUUACAGGCUAGUGCUUCAGGCCUUCCUCAGCAAAUGGUCAUUGCUCAGCAGAACACUUUGUUACCUGUACAGCCACAGGCACAAGGAGUGGAAUCUGUCGUCCAAGGGAUGACUGGCCAGCAGCUGCCUGCGGUUAGCCCUAUACCUUCUGCUAGUACUGUUCCUGCACCAAGUCAAGCUGGUUCAGCUGUGCCUCCUGGCAUACCUUCUGCUUCUAUAGGUCUGGGACAGCCACAGAACAUAGCACAAGCUUCGGCUGUACAGAACGGGAAUUUGGCUCAAAGUGUUAGUCAGCCUCCCUUGAUAUCAACGAGUAUAGGUGUGCCGGUGGCACAGAGUGUGCCACAGCAGAUGCCGCUAAGCUCUACCCAGUUCCCCGCACAAUCACUAGCUCAGUCCGUUGUAAGCCAAAUUGAAGAUGGCAGACGCCCUACAGAACCUUCCUUGGUGGGUUUACCUCCAGCUCCCAGUGGCGAGAGUGGUGUUGGAGCAUCAGCCGUUUCAGAUGGCGGUAGCAGCAACGUGCCGUCCUCCGCUUCCCUCUUUCCACUGAAGGUGCUGCCAUUGACAACACCUCUCGUAGAUGGUGAGGAUGAGAGGUCUGUGCUCUAAAGGAGAGGAUGAAGAAACCCCACCAAAAUUGCCUCCAAAUGAAUUGAGAGAAAUUGCAUAAUGAGGAACAUGCUAUUGGAUCAUACUCUACUUGGUGUCUUCAGAGCAAUGAAGGCAAAAUGAUAGUGCCUCAUAUGAGGCAUACAGCUCAACAGCUACCCUGCAUGCAAACACUAGCCACUGCUGCUGUUGUGCGUAAGCUGCCCACAAAAGUAAAGAACCAGUGUGAGAGUUUGAAGAAAGAAUCCGCUCAGAGGACUGAGUCUCAAGCAAAAGCUCCAGGUUGCAGACUCAGAAAGAAACUUCCUUUGGGGAAGGAUCUGCUUCCAGGAUUUGCUCGUCUCUUUUUCCUUGGGCAAACAGAGUUCUUUGAAGCAAACAACAGGGUUGCAGGUAGGUAGGGCCCCUUUGAACCACCAUCCACUCAGGUGCCAAGGAUGGACUUUAUGCUGUUUCUCUAUGCUUUUUUUUUUUUUUCCUGUUGAUGUUGUCUUCCACUUUUCUAGGCUGAGAGAGGGAAAGAGUGUGAGCAGUUUAAUGAGAAGACGUGGGGGAGAGAGAGGAGAAAAACAUAUCCUGAGCACUUGGAAAGAAUGGGUUUUAUGCCUCUGUAUAAGCUUCCUGUCUGUGGGUCAUAUUUGUACUUCAGUUCUUUGAAGGACUAAUGACAUUCUUUGUCUGACCCUUUUCUAGACAGGAAACAAAGUCAAGAGCAGAAAAUGGUGGCUGGGGCCAAGGUAAGCCCAGCGAUUGUAUAUGGCCCUUAGCCACACAGGUUUCAUCUCCUCCCUGUCUCUUCACACCAGUGCUAGGUUUGAAUGUGCAAAAAGGUGGAGGCUGCCAAAUGGGUUUGAAAUCCAGCUUGAUUCCCAGCACGGAAAAUGUUCCCCAGGUCUAAACAUGUAAAGGCGUUCUUGCUUCAGGGGAGCCUAUGGCUGUUGGGUUAAGUCCUGUUUCUUUGUCCAUAUGAAUAGACUCAAACACCCUGAUUAAAGGGGAUGUGCUGCUAACCCACAUGAUCAGCAAUCCCUCAGGCCCCUAGAAGGGGAAUCAGUAGAAUCAGCUCAGGUAAAUUCUGCCUUUCUUGCUUCAUUGCUGUGCAGAGCAACAGCCUCUUCCUUGCAAACGUCGGUAGCCCACAGUCAGACCUUUCUUUCUCCAGCUAUGUCAUUGCUGGCACAGGAAGUUUAUUCGAAAUUUCCUUUUGAUUUUUAGCAAAAGGAAUCACUUGAAAACUGACAGUGAGAUUCUAACGAGUUUUUACCAGUUCCUCUUUCAUGCUGAAUUGAAGUCAUUUGGAACUAUGUUACAUGCAUUAUUACUUUGGUGCAUCUUGUGACUCUUCUCUCCCUCUUCAUUCCCUCCAAAUUGCUUCAGGACACCUUCUAACCUUUAUACUGCACCACAAGCCUUCAGCAGAAGAUCUUGAGAGCCAUUUAUGUUGCUGGAAGAUGACUGGGUUUGGAUCUUGGCCUUCCUUAAGCAGGAUCUCCUGACAAAAAUGGGAUUGGGAAAGAAAUGACUCCUUUUUCCAUCACACAGAGCCGCCCCAGAAAUGGAGGCCUAGGCAGAAAAUUACUUCUAAUGCAUCAUUCCUUAGGAGAUUUGUUUGGCCUUCCACGGUCCUUCUGUUACCAUGUCAUAAAAAUGUCUUUUAUAAAACUUAAACCUGGCAUCUUCCUAUGUGAAGAUCCAGUCAGUAAAUCCAAGUUUAAGAGUUUACAGGUCUAAUGUGGUCAGAUCAAGCUGUCUCCUACGUAGGAGAUGCCCUAUGAAUCUGUGAAGCAGGGUUCUGCUGUGGUUCAGAGUGUUAUAUCUGUAAAGCCUUUUCUACUUACAGUCCAUUUAAAUUAUUAGAAAUAAUACUAAUAAAGCUUCUUGUGAAAAUGGUAUUUAAUUAGGCCUCGAACUCUCCAAGUUUACUUAAAAAUAAGUGAGCCAAAAAUGACAUAAUGGGCAAUAUGGGAAGUACUGCAUCUUCUGAGGUUUCCUGUGGGUUUGUGUCCAGAGAAGGUAUGUUGAAAGUGUCGAGGGCUGUGAAGGUGGAAAAAAUUUAGAUUUUGCUUUAAGAGUGAAAAGCUAUUUGUUAGAAAGCAGAAAGCUUUUAAUUUGCCGCCUCCAAGGGAUUCUUUAGUCUAACGGUCUUGCAAGAUCUCAAAUAAAAACCUUAUGUUUGGCAGUAGUGAGCAACACACACACGCAUGCGUGUGUACUUUUUGUUCUUUUUGCCAUAGGAAAUUAGUUUUGAAGAACAGGACUGACUUUUAAUGUUCAGAUUAGGAAAGGGGAAAGCUUUGUUCUGAAGCUGAGUGUGAGAAGAGGUGGCAGGAGGGUGAACUGGACCCUCUGAGAGGAGGUAAAGAGCACUUUUGUUUUCCUGUUUUCUGCUUCUGGCAGUUGGAGUAAACUAGUCAGAUGCUUGUGCUUGAAUCCAAUUAAUUUCCUAAAUCAGUUACCACAAAACAUUGUUUUUUAACUAAUGCCUAGAUCUUUCAUUAAAUUCACCAGCCUAUUUAAAUUGUUGAGCAGUCUUAACAUAGCCCUGAGGCUACUGCUUCAUGGCAGUUGUGACUUCUUACUACGCUGGAAUGCGCUGCAGUCUUAGUACAUUCUAAAAAUAAUUGUUCAGAUGGUGCCGUUUAAGUACAUACUUAUGUAGUGAGCCAUUUUCACUGGACUUUCUGAAAUUUGGGCUCUGUUGGAUGGCUUUUUAAUACCCUUUUUUUUUUUUGUUCCCUGUGAAUAUCCAACUUCUUUGUCUUGCUGCUUCUGUGGUUAUUGAGUAAAAUGCUAAAUUUAUAACCUGGUAUUUUUAGCAAACUGAUAGUCAGAUGUAUGUGUUAAACUAUGCAACCACAGUAACACUUGUGAACUUUGAAGUUUAAAGAGAAAUCACUUUCAUGUAUCAAAUUCAGUACUUCUUUUUUAAUAUGUGGAAAUAUGUUUGUGAUGACCUUAAAACUGAGUAGUUGUUACAGGUAUAGACAUGGAUUGUGUGCUGAACAUGAAUGAUCUAGAAGUUAGAAGCUGGAGAUAUGUGAGUCUCAGAAAUGAAUACUGCUGUCUGUGGGAGAGAUCUGUGCCAGCAGUGCUUUUAGUUGAAAAUACCUGUUUUUCUAACUUCUCGCCCAUUUAAAGUCUGGUAUCUUUUUGUGCCUUCCUUAAAAGACAUACUUGCCUCAGCCACAGUUGUUGAUCAUUUUGUUCUGUAGAAUAAGGUGAUUUAAGACCAUCAAGUACUUAACAGGAGCACUGAGAACUGUUCCUAAUGUUAUUGUCUCAGUUGCUAAAAUGACUUUAACCCCCGCAUCACAACAAGGAAAAGAACCCCAAACAAGCCAAAAAGCCUAUUGCUGUUCUACAGUCAGUAUUUUGAUACUUCUUGUCUAUUACCAUUGUGUUAGCGUGUUACUAUCAUUCUCUGAGUUCUGCAGCUGGAAUCCUGGGUUCUUGAUAAAUCUCUAGAGCAAUAACUCCUGCCUUUGUGUUAUUAAAAAAUAAAGAUGUCUGAAACCA